rnacentral:misc_RNA from 1 species
GACAACAGCCAAUCCUGGAACCUAAACAGAUUGAAGGAUGAAAAGCAUUAAAAUCCAUGUUUCAUAAGAAAAGAUAAAGAAUUUACACACUAACAGUUGGUUCAACUAGUUUAAUCAAUUUAGCAUCAUAUUUCAGAAGCAAGAACACUAAGCUCGGUAAUUGUAUUAAGCAGAUAUAAAGCAACAGCACAGGAUCAAGAACAUGUAUUUUAUCUAUAUUUAAAUCAUUCCAUAGUAUCUAAUGGACGGAUAAUCCAAUUGAUAAAUCUAAGCACAGGAUAGCCAGGAAUCUAAUUAGAUAGCAAAAAAUAUACAAAUAUCCAAGGAACAAAUGAACAAAUUCUCCAUAAUUGAAAAUUAGCACUUCUAUCCCAGCAUUGAAUACGGAAGCAACAUUUCUACCUCUCGAUAUCUCAACAGCACCGUCUCGAUUCAUUGGAAAAAGAAAAAAGAAUUGGAUGAGGAAAAAACCAGGAAAAGAAACACUUGUAUACACAUGAACUCACCAGCGAACUGAAGGAAGCGACUAGGAGUUCCCAUACUAAUAGAUAUGUCUAUGGAUUAGCAGAAAUUCAAGUGACUAGAAUAGGAUGAAGGAAACAUAGAUUGCCAAAUUGUACAGACCUUGCCG